rnacentral:miRNA from 1 species
GGAAGGAAGGAAGGAAGGGAGGGAGGAAGGGAGGGGAUGGGACUUGACAAAGUACUUCUUGAAAUCUUACAGAAAAUAUGUAUUACCACCACCACCACCACUCCUCCCUCUCCCCCCGCCCUUUUUUUUUUUUUUUUG